UACGUAGGGUGCGAGCGUUAAUCGGAAUUACUGGGCGUAAAGCGUGCGCAGGCGGUUUUGUAAGCCAGAUGUGAAAUCCCCGGGCUCAACCUGGGAAUGGCAUUUGGGACUGCAAGGCUGGAGUUUGGCAGAGGAGACUGGAAUUCCUGGUGUAGCAGUGAAAUGCGCAGAUAUCAGGAAGAACACCAAUGGCGAAAGCAGCUCUCUGGGACGGUACUGACGCUGAGACGCGAAAGCGUGGGGAGCGAACAGG
rnacentral:rRNA from 1 species